rnacentral:rRNA from 1 species
UACGAAGGGGGCUAGCGUUGCUCGGAAUGACUGGGCGUAAAGGGCGCGUAGGCGGAUGGUACAGUCAGAUGUGAAAUUCCCGGGCUUAACCUGGGGGCUGCAUUUGAUACGUGUUGUCUAGAGUGAGGAAGAGGGUCGUGGAAUUCCCAGUGUAGAGGUGAAAUUCGUAGAUAUUGGGAAGAACACCGGUGGCGAAGGCGGCGACCUGGUCCUUUACUGACGCUCAUGCACGACAGCGUGGGGAUCAAACAGG